UCUAAUCAAUUCUGUUUCUAUAAUGGGUGAUAAUACCUCUUUCCUUUUUGUGGUAGUGAGACACUGGAGAGUCAGCUUAGGAUUUCUCACAUGCUAGGCUAAGCCCACCUUUCUUUCUUUCUUUCUUUUAAGCUGGGCUUUCUCUGUCUGUCCUGGAACUUGCUCUGUAGAUCUGGCUGUCUAGAACGUCAAUAUCUGCCUGCCUUCCAGAGUUCUGGAAUUAUAGUUUCAUGCCAUUUAGUCUAGCUUUGUUUUUUUGGUUCUUUUAAAAACAUUUUUGGGUGUAUUUAUUUCAUUUGUGGACCAUGCGCAUGCAUACCUGAUGCCAGGGAGGCUGUAGGAUCCCCUAAUUGGAGUCAUGGAUGGCUGUGAACAGAGAUGUGGCUGCUGGAAAGAGAUCCCAGUUCCUCUGAAAUAAAAAGGGCUCUUAACCCCAGAGCCGUCUUCAGUCCCCAAGCCUUUUUUAAAACAUGUUUUAAUUUUGAGACAAGAUCUCAUUAAUUUCUCCAGGAUGGCCUUGAACCCAGUCCUGCUCAAGUAGCCCCGUCGUGCCUUGACCUUUCUUUUUAAUUUUUAAUUAUUAUCUUGUUACUUUUAUGUGUAUGUGUGCUUUGCCUGUUUAUAUCUGUUUACCACACGCAUGCAGUGUUCUUGGACACCAGAAAAGGGUGUUUGAGUCCCCUGGGACUGGAGUUAGACAAUUGUGAGCCAUGUUGUGGAUGAAGCCCUGGUCCUCUGGAAGAGCAACCGGUACUCUUAACCCCAGAGCUAUGGCUCCAGCCUCCA
rnacentral:lncRNA from 1 species